rfam:Triticum aestivum genome assembly, contig: Triticum_aestivum_CS42_TGACv1_scaffold_569180_7AS
UGUCUACUCCCUCCGUCCGUAAAUACUUGUCGCAGAGUAUUUAGACGUAUUUAAGUUCUAGAUACAUCUAUUUUUAUUCAUUUCUCCGACAAGUAUUUCCUGACGGAGGGAGUACGAC